AGUGAACGCUGGCGGUAGGCCUAACACAUGCAAGUCGAACGGCAGCACAGUAAGAGCUUGCUCUUACGGGUGGCGAGUGGCGGACGGGUGAGGAAUACAUCGGAAUCUACUUUUUCGUGGGGGAUAACGUAGGGAAACUUACGCUAAUACCGCAUACGACCUACGGGUGAAAGCAGGGGAUCUUCGGACCUUGCGCGAUUGAAUGAGCCGAUGUCGGAUUAGCUAGUUGGCGGGGUAAAGGCCCACCAAGGCGACGAUCCGUAGCUGGUCUGAGAGGAUGAUCAGCCACACUGGAACUGAGACACGGUCCAGACUCCUACGGGAGGCAGCAGUGGGGAAUAUUGGACAAUGGGCGCAAGCCUGAUCCAGCCAUACCGCGUGGGUGAAGAAGGCCUUCGGGUUGUAAAGCACUUUUGUUGGGAAAGAAGAGCAGCAGGUUAAUACCCCGCUGUUCUGACGGUACCCAAAGAAUAAGCACCGGCUAACUUCGUG
rnacentral:rRNA from 1 species